UCCGUAGGCGGUGUGGCAAGUCGGUAGUGAAAUCUCUCGGCUUAACUGAGAGGCUGCUGCCGAAACUGCCAUGCUCGAGUGCGAGAGAGGCGAGUGGAAUUGCGGGUGUAGCGGUGAAAUGCGUAGAUAUCCGCAGGAACAUCCGAGGCGAAAGCGGCUCGCUGGAUCGCAACUGACGCUGAGGGACGAAAGCUAGGGGAGCAAACAGGAUUAGAUACCCUGGUAGUCCUAGCCCUAAACCAUCAGGACUUGGGGUUUGCCCUGUACGGGGCAAGUCCCGGAGCUAACGCGUUAAGUCCUGCGCCUGGGGAGUACGGUCGCAAGGCUGGA
rnacentral:rRNA from 1 species